rnacentral:misc_RNA from 1 species
UACGGAGGGUGCAAGCGUUGUCCGGAUUUAUUGGGUUUAAAGGGUGCGUAGGCGGCGUUGUAAGUCAGUGGUGAAAGUCUGUAGCUUAACUAUAGAAUUGCCAUUGAUACUGCAGUGCUUGAGUAUAGUUGAAGUAGGCGGAACUUAUGGUGUAGCGGUGAAAUGCAUAGAUACCAUAAAGAACACCGAUAGCGAAGGCAGCUUACUAAACUAAUACUGACGCUGAGGCACGAAAGCAUGGGUAGCAAACAGG